rnacentral:rRNA from 1 species
UCGGUUAUCGAUGGGGAUGCGUUCCAUUAGUUAGUUGGCGGGGUAACGGCCCACCAAGACGACGAUGGAUAGGGGUUCUGAGAGGAAGGUCCCCCACAUUGGAACUGAGACACGGUCCAAACUCCUACGGGAGGCAGCAGUGAGGAAUAUUGGUCAAUGGACGAGAGUCUGAACCAGCCAAGUAGCGUGAAGGAUGACUGCCCUAUGGGUUGUAAACUUCUUUUAUAUGGGAAUAAAACAGGGUAUGCAUACCCUCUUGUAUGUACCAUAUGAAUAAGGAUCGGCUAACUCCGUGCCAGCAGCCGCGGUAAUACGGAGGAUCCGAGCGUUAUCCGGAUUUAUUGGGUUUAAAGGGAGCGUAGGUGGAUUGUUAAGUCAGUUGUGAAAGUUUGCGGCUCAACCGUAAAAUUGCAGUUGAAACUGGCAGUCUUGAGUACAGUAGAGGUGGGCGGAAUUCGUGGUGUAGCGGUGAAAUGCUUAGAUAUCACGAAGAACUCCGAUUGCGAAGGCAGCUCACUGGACUGCAACUGACACUGAUGCUCGAAAGUGUGGGUAUCAAACAGGAUUAGAUACCCUGGUAGUCCACACAGUAAACGAUGAAUACUCGCUGUUUGCGAUAUACAGU